rnacentral:lncRNA from 1 species
GAAGGUUAGAGAAAGGCCAAGAUCCGGAGCAAGAAGCAAACUUGUGGAAGAACAUUAAAAAAUUUGCAGGCUAAUUCAAUAAAACGAAUCUUGGCUUCAACAGUUUAAAAUUACAUAGUAAAUUGUAAGCUUUUGUUGCAUUCUCAACUCAGAAACACAUAUAUAAUCUGGUACCUCUCAGACGUCAUUUUGCUCUCUCAGGUCCAACCCAAUGGAGCUCUGAAGAAAUGGCUGAGAGUCACCUCUUGAAUAUCAUCUUCAUCUUCUUGUUUCUG